CCACCCUCUUCACGCAGAGGCACCAGCUUGGACCCACCCAGGGCUGAGGCUUCCCUGCUGGCCAACGGCCACACCCCAGACCCAAGGAAGAGCCUCUCCCUGGGACCUGACCGCUCUCUGGUGACCACCUGACGGCCACACAGAUGUCUCCAGCAGACCCAGACCUCAGGGCCAGGCCCUCAGGCACAGGCCGUGCCCUCUCCCCGGGCAACUCUGCCUCAUGUGGCCUUCAGAGUACGGGGCAGGCCCCACCCCAGACUCACAGCCUCAGAUUCUCUGCAGGACCUAACUGAAUAACGGCCGUGAAGGUGCCGUGACCAGCAGAGCUGAAAGCUGCCCGGGCACAGCUCACACGCUCCCCACCGGACUCCUGGGUGGCGCCUAGGUCAGCAACGGCUUCACCCACUUCCCUCCUGACAGCCACCACCAACCAGGUUGGGCCAUGCUGUUAAGACGAACACGUGUGCACACAGCGGGUGUGAGGGCGCACUCACCUGCAUGUACUCACGAGCCUACAUGAACAGCUACCUGGAUAUACUCACGAGCACACGCACAGCACACUCGUACACACGACACGCACACGUACGAGCACAUGCACAGUGCACUCGUACACACGACACGCAUACACGUACUCAAGAGCACACACACAGCACACGUACACACGGCACGCGCACACGUACUCACGAGCACACGCACAGCGCACUCGUACACACGACACGCAUACACAUGUACUCGAGCACACACACAGCACACGUACACACGGCAGGCACACACGUACUCACGAGCACGCGCACAGCGCACUCGUACACACGACAUGCAUACACGUACGAGCACAUGCACAGUGCACUCGUACACACAACACGCAUACACAUGUACUCGAGCACACACAGCACACGUACACACGGCAGGCACACACGUACUCACGAGCACGCGCACAGCGCACUCGUACACAC
rnacentral:lncRNA from 1 species